AUUGAACGCUGGCGGCAGGCUUAACACAUGCAAGUCGAGCGAGCGGCGGACGGGUGAGUCAUGUCUGGGAAACUGCCUGCUGGAGGGGGAUAACUACUGGAAACGGUAGCUAAUACCGCAUACCAUCAGAUGUGCCCAGAUGGGAUGAGCUAGUAGGUGGGGUAAUGGCUCACCUAGGCGACGAGCCCUAUCUGGUCUGCGAGGGUGAACAGGCACACGGGAACAGAGACACGGUCCAGACUCCUACGUGAGGCAGCAGUGGGGAAUAUUGCACAAUGGGCGCAAGCCUGAUGCAGCCAUGCCGCGUGUGUGAAGAAGGACUUCGGGUUGUAAAGCACUUUCAGCGAGGAGGCGUUACUCGCAGAAGAAGCACCGGCUAACUCCGUGCCAGCAGCCGCGGUAAUUC
rnacentral:rRNA from 1 species